AUGUCAGCUCGGGUGCAUGACAGCUCAGCUGCAGACAGGCUGAGGUACACAUCAGCUCAGGUGCACGCUGGCUCAGCUGCAUACAGGCUGAGGUGCAUGCCAGCUCAGAUGUACACCAGUUCAGCUGCAUACAGGCUGAGGUGCAUGCCAGCUCGGGUGUACACCAGUUCAGCAGCAUACAGGCUGUGGUGCACACCAGCUCAGGUGUACACCGAUUCAGCUGCAUACAGGCUGAGGUACAUGCCAGCUUGGAUGCACGCCAGUUCAGCUGCAUACAGGCUGAGGUGCAUGUUGGCUCAGGUGUACACCGGCUCAGCUGUACACUGGCUCAGCUGUAUACAGGCUGAGGUGCAUGCCGGCUCAGGUGUACACUGGCUCAGCUGCAUACAGGCUGAGGUGCAUGCCGGCUCAGGUGUACACCGGCUCAGCUGCAUACAGGCUGAGGUGCAUGCCGGCUCAGGUGUACACCAGUUCGGCUGCAUACAAGCUGAGGUACAUGCCAGCUCGGGUAUACACCAGUUCAGCUGCAUACAGGCUGAGGUGCAUGCAAGCUCGGGUGCAUGCCGGCUCAGUUGCAUACAGGCUGAGGUACAUGCCAGUUCGGGUGCAUGCCGAUUCAGCUGCAUACAGGCUGAGGUGCAUGUUGGCUCAGGUGUAUACCGGCUCAGCUGCAUACAGGCUGAGGUGCAUGCCGGCUCAGGUGUACACUGGCUCAGCUGCAUACAGGCUGAGGUGCAUGCCGGCUCAGGUGUACACCAGCUCAGCUGCAUACAGGCUGAGGUGCAUGCCGGCUCAGGUGUACACCAGUUCAGCUGCAUACAGGCUGAGGUACAUGCCGGCUCAGGUGUACACCAGCUCAGCUGUACACUGGUUCAGCUGCAUACAGCUGCGGUGCAUGCUGGCUCAGGUGUACACUGGUUCAGCUGCAUACAGGCUGAGGUGCACGCCGGCUCGGGUGUACAUCAGCUCAGCUGCAUACAGCCUGAGGUGCAUGCCAGCUCGAGUGUACAUCAGCUCAGCUGCAUACAGACUGAGGUGCAUGCCAGCUCUGGUGUAUAUCAGCUCAGCUGCAUACAGGCUGAGGUGCAUGCCCACUUGGAUGUACACCGGCUCAGCUGCAUACAGGCUGAGGUGCAUGCAAGCUCGGAUUUAUACCAGGUCAGCUGCAUACAGGCUGAGGUGCAUGACGGCUCGGGUGUACAUCAGCUCAGCUGCAUACAGGCUGAGGUGCAUGCCAGCUCAGGUGUACACCAGCUCAGCUGCAUACAGGCUGAGGUGCACACCGGCUCAGGUGUACACUGGUUCAGCUGCAUACAGGCUGAGGUGCAUGCCAGCUGGGGUGCAUGCCUGCUUAGAUGCACACAGAAAUAG
rnacentral:lncRNA from 1 species